rnacentral:rRNA from 1 species
GACGAACGCUGGCGGCGUGCUUAACACAUGCAAGUCGAACGAUGAAGCUGGAGCUUGCUCCGGUGGAUUAGUGGCGAACGGGUGAGUAACACGUGAGUAAUCUGCCCUUGACUCUGGGAUAACUGCGGGAAACUGUAGCUAAUACCGGAUACGACACCUUCGGGCAUCCGAUGGGUGUGGAAAGAAUUUCGGUCAAGGAUGAACUCGCGGCCUAUCAGCUAGUUGGUGAGGUAAGGGCUCACCAAGGCGACGACGGGUAGCCGGCCUGAGAGGGUGACCGGGCACACUGGGACUGAGACACGGCCCAGACUCCUACGGGAGGCAGCAGUGGGGAAUAUUGCACAAUGGGCGAAAGCCUGAUGCAGCAACGCCGCGUGAGGGAUGAAGGCCUUCGGGUUGUAAACCUCUUUUAGUUGGGAAGAAGCGAAAGUGACGGUACCAACAGAAAAAGCACCGGCUAACUACGUGCCAGCAGCCGCAGUAA